CUUGCAAAAGCUCCAGGGGGUACUUAGCAGGUGACCAGGUAGCUGAGCCAUUCUUAGCAAAAAGGAAGGUCCUUGGAUAAGAAGCGUUACAAUCAAGAACACAGCAGGGACUCACUCUCCCAAAUAAGGUGUGCCAGGCAGAUCUUGCUUGGAUACUGGGGCACCAGCCAAUGGACACUCAGGCCCAUCCUGGUCCCAGGCAAACUUUGCUUGGGUACUGGUGAACUGGUCAGUGGGCACUCAGGGUCUGCCACAGGGAGGGUGUUUAAGGCAGCAUGCCAGUGGCACUUUGUGGUGGUUGUAAACUCCUGUCCUGUGCUUUUAACAGUCACCCUCAGCUUUUCCUGAUUUUCUGUCUCCCUUCUUUCUCUCUGCUCUUUUGUGUAACAAAAUAAAGUUGAGUUAUCCUUUUUGGAAUCCAGCAUCUGGCCUCGUUUGUGCCUUAAUCUCGCUUAGGGGAAAGUUUUAGAACCUGGUUCCCCUCCUCAUCUAAGCAGAUCAGAACAGGGUUUUUUGGCUUGUUCUUAAUAAAUAAUUUUGUUAAAUACCACAUGAUUUCACGGAAUAUGGGAAGGGACCUACAGGAAUCAUUGAGUCCAACUCUUAAGUGAGUCAAAGGAGGAACAACAUCUCUGCCUCAGUUAGCUUAGGAAUUUAGUUGGUCUCUGACCUUCGAAGAGGAGCUGUACCUUAAUCAACAAAAAUGCAUGUUUUCCUGAACUUUGCCAUUUUGGCUCUUUUUCUCUUAAACCUAUAAUCAGUUUAGUAUCAUAAAAUAAAGACAAAGGAAACUGAGAUAAUUGAAAACAGCUGAAUAGUCCACCUGAAGGACAUUAACCAAAUGAAUCAUAUACUUGAAAAGGCACUAUCAGUAGAAGUUGUUUUGCUAGGAAUUCAAUUCAACUAAAGGAUUGUUGAAGUAGAAAAUAACAUGAGGUUAUCUUUUAACUAGUGAUAGAUGUGUCUUGUAGUGGAUAAAGAGAAUCAGAUGAGAUCGUCCACAGCCCCAAAUUCCUGCCACGAAAGAGACACUAGAUGGCAGACGUGCUCCACGAAAGAGCAGUCAGGUGAGAUUUGAGUAUAGGAUCAUGCUGUAAUGAGGUGGAUAGUUUUCCGGGAAGCAACUUUGGAUGAUACCAUGUAUAAAUAGCCGAAGAAACUGUACUUCAGAGAGGAUGUGUGGUUAAUGAUUCCCCGUGCUCCCGUCACGACGAAUUAAAGGAACGUUUCAUCCAGACGACACCGUGUCUUUGUUUCGGUUGGUGCUGUGACUCAGAUCCCGCUGUUCGCUGUGAGACCCCUUGGUGAGACAGACGCUUUCAGGGCACCCCUGGAGAUUCCUCCGGCAAAACCUCCCUCGGCCACGGGAUCAUUUCAGGAGAAGACAAGGUCCUGGCCACAGCUUUUUCAGGUCAGCCUCUGGAGGGGAAGUGGAACAGACCCUACCAGGUGCUGCUGACAACCUUCACUGCCAUCAAGAUCAAAGAGCAUGGAUUCACCAUUCACGAGGGAAGAAAGCACCUGAGAAGGCUUGGACAUCAGAACCAGGCAGACCCGCUACCAUCAAGUUUUCCCAGCAUUGAUCUUUGAUAAGUAUAAUAACUCUGACUGAGAGUUUUGCCUCAGACUGGCCAUGGUCUCAAGCAUGUUGUGGGUUCUCUGGUCUAGAGACCAUAUAUAUAGAUGAUCAUCAACAAAUGGCUACAUAUAAUACCUCUACUGUGGUCUUACAAAGAGACACAAUGAUCUUAAAAGGUUGGCAGAAUCCACACUAUGGUGCAAGCAUUUUGGCUGAAGUUGUUGGAAAGGAAGUAUGAGUAGAAUGUAAAAUACUUAAUCCACCCCUACAAGAAAACUAAAAACUGCAACCCCAAAUUUUUGUGAGAGAUUCUUUGGUUCUUGGGGGUCCAUCCUGUUCACCUUUUCUUAAAACUUCACAUGCAGGAUGGACAGCGUGGCUGCACAAAUGUACAUUCACCUUCAAGAAUUGGACUAGAAGAUAUAUAGUUGGGGCAUUAGGAUCAGGAUUAGGGAUUUUGAACAGCAUGGAUUCUGAAAUAUUAAUAAAUAGAUUGGAAAGAGUGACCAGCAAUUUGAAUCAACUGCAAAGUCCCCUAAAAUCUUCCCUUUCAGCUCUAGGACCUAGUCAACAACUCACGUUAGAAGCAUUACUCCCAUGGGAAGAAACUAAUGAAAAUAUCAUCUGUUAAUUGCAAAAGCUCCUGGGACAGCUCAGACCAAUGUUUGUUUGGCUCUGAGUUGUAUUCAGGCUCAAGCUUGGAUACAAACAGUGAUAGUGGCAAUCAUUAGGGAGGGUGAAGGUGGCAUCUUAUCAACUGAAAUUUGUGCAGUUAUUUGGCAAAAUGUGACACAAUUUGAAUAAGAAUUGCAAUUGUGGUAGUAAUGAGUUAAUUUGACCUCCUGAUCCUACUACUGGUGUUGCUACAGCCUUUGUACUAACUGUACAAAAAGCUGAAAUUAAUAGGAUCUACCCAAUUAUCACCUUAAGGGCAAGUCACGACAGAACUGUACUGGAACCCUUGAGACAUUGUUUGGACCCUGAGAAAAGGAGAUAAGUGGCAAACAAUUGAUGCAGAGGCAUGCAUUGUACAAGAACAACAAGGAUUUACCUGUGAGAGCAAUGCUAUGAAAGCUCAGGACAUCUGUCUAGAUACUGAACAAAGCAUUUGUCAUUUUGAGAUGCACCCAUUUGAAAAUCCCAGAACUGUGAUUGUUUACAUAAGGUAAAGGCUGUGCUUGCUUGAGGACCCCACGCAGCCUGUUGCAUGUAGAUAAACAUUCUUUAAUGACCAGUAAUCAUUCCAAUUUCUGUGUUUGCAAUUUUGUUAACAUUGAAGGGUGUGAUUUUCAUUAUGCAGCUCCAGUUUUUUCAUACUCCUUGUUACGAUGUGUCUGUGUGUUAUUUUAGAGGUCCAGCCUGCCCUCAUUGGAAUGGACUAUGCCUUGCUUGGAGAUUUAUUGCAUCAUGGAGACCUGCAGCAACUAUGGAAGCAAAUCCAAGAAAAUGGACGAAAGACUCUAAUUAUGGUCCAGCAUGAUGUAGAAAAGAUUGACCACAUACUUGAAUGAGUUAAAGAAGACAGAAAGAACUAUUGAUGGGAUGUUUUCAUGAGAAAAUCUCCCUCAGCAACUCAAGUUUUGAAUGUGUUGAUUUUGUUGUUUAUAAUAGUAAUACUUUCAGUGGUCAGUUUUGUAUUUUAGUAUAAGUUAAGAACCUUAGCAUCUCAGGUAAUGAAGAAUUCAAAAAUAAAAUACAAUAAAAAUAUAAAUAAAA